rnacentral:ncRNA from 2 species
AACUUAAUAGCUGAUUAGGGUUGCUGAAAAAGCAUUAAUAAGGAAUCCGGUGAGAAGCCGGAACAGCCCCGCUACUGUAUGAAUGACGAAUCCCUUAAUGGAAACCACUGGGUAAAACCGGGAAGGCAAGGGAGGAGGAUGACUUCGAGUCAGGAGACUUGCCCUAUUCAGGAUCAUAAG